CGUCAACGGGAAGAUGAGCGGGCAAGAUUUAUCAGCUCUAUCGUUCAUGCAAGUGACAGGGACUAUGUUACGCAAUUGAGGAUGAAACGAGAAGGUUUCUUCUCACUAUGUAACAUACUGCAAGAUAAAACGCAACUACGCGAUACUCGUAAUGUUAGUCUUGAAGAGCAAUUAGUCAUAUUCCUCCAUACAAUUGGAUAUAACGUGCGUAAUCGUGUGAUAGGAUACAAGUUUAUAUGUUCAGGUGAAAUCGUAAGUCGUCACUUUCACCGUGUGCUUGAUGCAAUAGUGUCUUUGUAUCCUGAAUUUGUUAAGCUAACUAGUACUAAUACCCCCGCCGAGAUUCAAUCAAAUCCUUAUUGGGCCACUUAUUUCCAGGAUUGUGUUGGUGCGAUAGACGGGAUGCAUAUUCCCGUUCACGUGGAAGCAUCCCAACACCCAAGCUUUCGCAAUAGGAAGGGUGUUGUAUCUCAAAAUGUACUACUGCUUGUUCGUUUGACAUGACAUUCUUAUACGUGCUAGCUGGAUGGGAGGGUUCCGCUUCGGAUGCAUGGGUCCUACAUAACGCACUGAUGCGAAGUGAUGAUCCACUAAUUGUCCCACACGGUAAUUGUUUUAUCACAAAUACCUGGUAAUAUUGUUCACAGUAACAUUAUUCUCAACACACUAACCCUUAAAACCAUAACUCUUACGCAUUGUAGGAAAAUAUUUCUUUGUUGACGCAGGAUACGCUCACUCACCUGGAUUCAUGGCGCCUUACCGCGGUGUUCGAUAUCACUUGCAAAAAUAUCGAACCGGGAGAGCACCCAUGAAUAAGGAGCUAUUCAACUACCGGCAUGCGCAAUUGCGAAACGCAAUUGAGUGUUGUUUCAGUGUAAUGAAUGGUAGAUUUCCUAUUUUGAAGACAGCUGCGCAAUAUCCAUUUGAAACAUAGGUCAAGAUUGUAGUAGCUUGUUCUGUAUUACAUAAUUUCAUUCGUCAGGAAGACGAAACUGAACAAGAUUUAGACGAUGUUGGUAUACCCAUGGGGGAUGUAGAGAGUAAUCCUAUACCAAAUGAGGUAUCAACAAAGGAUGAGCGACAGUGGCUAGUUCAAGUGACACAGCGGGAGAAAGAGGCGUGGAUCAAAGUUCGAGAUGAAAUUGUGGAGCGCAUGUGGACAGACACCCAAAUGAAUAGUAGGAAUAGAUAGGCUCCUUUUUUUAUUAAAUGCAUUGACUUAUCGGAUAGGCACAUAGAUGUAUAAGUAAAAUAUGGUUGAUUUGGACACUAUCAUUUUGGACUUACAUAUUCGCUUGGUACGAUUAUAUACUCUUCAAUACAUGAAUAGUUACUAGUAGAAUUGUACACUUCACUGUUUAUUCGGUUUAUAACUAUUUGUUAAUCCACACAUUAAGUGAGAUGUCUGAAAUUGGGUAAGUAGUACACCUACGUUGAUGCAGUCCCCGGCGAGGUCUCCAGUUCUACCGACACGUUUUUCUUCAUGCGAGAAGACUGUGAAAUCGCUUGUUGAGCCUCUAUUGCGAGCUGCAAAGAUCAAGUGCACCAGAAAUAUGGAUCAGAUAUUGUUCAAUACGUUGUUGGAACAAAUCGCUUUGGGUCGAAAGGCGGAUAAUGGAUUUAAGAGAGAAGCAUAUCAUGUGGCCGCUAAGGAGGUGUCUAAGAGGACUGAAAUAUCGGUAAACUGGCAAAACAUCCAAAACCGAUUGCGGUAUCAUAAGCGAGAGUAUAAUGAUGUGAGGGAGAUGUUGGCCGCAAGUGGUUUUGGGUGGGAUAGCAAGCAUAUGGUUGUCACAGCCCCAGACGAGGUAUGGGAAGAGUACCUCAAGGCAAUGGUUGCUCACAACCCUUUGCAUUGAAUUUCAUUUGUUACAUAAGUUUCUCUCUUUAAUUAUGUGUACUCAACUAUCAUCUACUUACCUAAUCCUUUCCUUGUAUGUAGACGCAUCCGAGAGCAAAAAAACUAUGUGGGAAGCGGAUAGAACAAUUGGACGAUUUAGCAGCGAUUGUAGGUACAGACCAUGCAACAGGCUGCUACGCCCAAGGAAGCAGGAAUAUGGCUGUAGCUUCAUCUUGUGUUCAACGAGAUCUAAAUGAAGCAUGGACUGACCUGGACGAUGACACCGAUGCACAUAUCGAUAUUUUCGAGGAUAAUCUCAGGGAUUUAGUUGGAAAUUUUCGAGCUUCGAAUGAAAGCCAUGAGGAAUCUGAAAAUCUCUCAUUCUGCAACACUCCCAGUCGAGGAACCGAGUGUGGGAGUAGUCGUGGUGGGAGUACGACAAUGAAACAGAUGCGUACUGCUCGUCCCUAUGACGUCCUUGGGGUAUCUCUGGAUGAGGUGGCAGAGGCAAUGCAAAAUUUGAACUUGGUAAAGAGGUCAACCGUACUACUAAAGUACUAGAUCUCCUCGAGGAGGUUCAGGGACUGACCAACCCAGAGUUCAUCGAGGUUGGUCAGCUACUGACCAGGGAUGAGAAGCUAGCCUCCUUUUUUGUAAGUCUUUAACCAGUGCGGAGGGUCGAUUGGUUGAAGAAAACUUUGUCUGAUUUCAAUAGAAAUGUUGGUGGGGGUUCUACUUGAUGGUUGCAACGACAUUAAUUAGAUUUCAUUUUGGAUAAUUUCAAUAUCAGGAUAUGUAAUAACUAUAUGCACAUUCUACACUUAUUUUUUUGGUAACUGUCUAUUUUUAGGGUUUUUGGAUAUUUACCACAUGCAU